CCUACGGGAGGCAGCAGUGGGGAAUUUUGGACAAUGGGGGCAACCCUGAUCCAGCCAUUCCGCGUGAGUGAAGAAGGCCUUCGGGUUGUAAAGCUCUUUCGCAAGGGAAGAAAACUUAUGAUCGAAUAAAUCAUGAGGUUGACGGUACCUUGAUAAGAAGCACCGGCUAACUACGUGCCAGCAGCCGCGGUAAUACGUAGGGUGCGAGCGUUAAUCGGAAUUACUGGGCGUAAAGCGUGCGCAGGCGGUUUUGUAAGUCGGAUGUGAAAUCCCCGGGCUCAACCUGGGAACUGCGUUCGAAACUGCAAGGCUAGAGUGUGCCAGAGGGGGGUAGAAUUCCACGUGUAGCAGUGAAAUGCGUAGAGAUGUGGAGGAAUACCAAUGGCGAAGGCAGCCCCCUGGGAUAACACUGACGCUCAUGCACGAAAGCGUGGGGAGCAAACAGGAUUAGAUACCCUGGUAGUCCACGCCCUAAACGAUGUCAACUAGUUGUUGGUAGAGUAAAAUCUAUGAGUAACGUAGCUAACGCGUGAAGUUGACCGCCUGGGGAGUACGGUCGCGAAGAUUAAACGUUNAAAGGAAUUGACGG
rnacentral:rRNA from 1 species